AGAUUAAAAUAACAGAAGAGGGACAACAAGCGCUGUCAGGAAGAUGUGCCUGAGCAUGUGAAAUGAAGAGCGUGGCUCUGUGGACCUCAAGGUGCUUAUGAAACCCGUAUGUCUUCAGAAGAGACUUCUGUCUUGGGCGUGUUAUCUCAAGUGCUCCACAGAGAUCGCGGAAAGCUCUGCAGCAAAUUCUUCUCCGUCUCAGAAGUGAGUGCCAGGACCUGGCGCAGGCUGAGGGACAUUUACAGCCUGCUGGGUCAUACAGAGAAGAGCCACAGCACUUGGCCGGGGAACGGCCCCUCUCUCAGGGCUCGUUUCAAGCCCAAUGCCCCUUGAAGGAUAUCGUCCCUCUGGCCACUUUCUUCCACUCUGAAAGACCACGCGCCAGAAGCUGCUUGUCUGUGGCGGAUCUGCCAACCAGCUGCGGAGCACGGGGACUCGCAGAGCAAGAGAAAGGCUCCAGCAAUGCACUGCAAAAGGAUGGGACGACCUCCUCUACGAGAGACGGUGCUCAGGGAGCCAAGUGCGUGACUCCUGCACUCUGCGUGGGGUGGCAGGGGUCUCGCCUGCUCCACGCCUCCAGCUGAAUGCUGCUGCUGCUGCAAAAGGGGAAAGGCUCAGGAGCCCGUCUCCAGCUCACACAAGCAUCCCGGGUUGCUCUCUGUGGCUGAGAUGGGGAAAAGGGCUUGGGUUUGUUGCUCGGAGCAGUCGUGCCGCGGCACAUAGCAGUAAGCCUUCUCGACAUGUCUGCACGAAGGACGAACCUGACACUUCUGAGCCCGUAGCUGAGCGCUAAAUGGAAAACAGAGACUAGCGAAGGGGGUUUUUUCCACCUCUGGUUUUGUGGGGGAGAAAACUGUAAAAUUUUGCUCAAAAGCAGUUUUGUGUCUGCAAACAGGAUUUAUUUUUAUGAGAUUUAUUUUUAAUUCCAUCCAGAUGUUUAUUUAUAAAAUAAUUUAGGACUUAUAUCCAAACAGACAUCAAAGAAACCUUCUGGGAGUAGCACUGUCAGUAGCAAAGGGUUUUAAUGAUCCACGAGGCGAGUGAAUGGGUUUGAAGAGUGUCAGAGUGCCUUGGGGGAGAGCAUGCAUGGAUCCAAUUAGGAACCCCUUCUGAGGUCCCUCAGACAUGGCAGGAAAGAUGCCUCCUUUGGGACUGGGAUGCCAACUAGUACACGCAGCGUCAUUUGGGGUAUUGCAGAGCACACACGCUUCCCCGAAAAUGCUACCAGGAAAAUAUCUGUCUUAAAGAGUGCCCCAGAAGCUAGCCAUAAUGACAACACCCUCAGGCCAUUCCCAGCCCUCGGUGGAGGUGGGUGACCCAGGCAGGGCACAUGGGGAGUGGCCGUGCACCCAUUGUGGUUUCCCAGACCUGGGGCAUGUGUCGCUGCCAGAGCCCCCGUGCCAACACGGGGCCAGGGUUGUGUCCUGCUGGGGUGGUCUGGGAGGGGACAGAAGCCCCAGGUGCUCCUAAGGCCACCCUAUAAAUCCGUAAGUCCCUGUCAUGCAGCCUGUAAAUCCCACCUCUCCUUGCAGCAGGUGAU